rnacentral:rRNA from 1 species
GCCCAGACUCCUACGGGAGGCAGCAGUGGGGGAUAUUGCACAAUGGGGGGAACCCUGAUGCAGCGACGCCGCGUGGGUGAAGGAGCGUUUCGGCGCGUAAAGCCCUCUCGGCAGGGAAGAAGGAGGACGGUACCUGACUAAGAAGCCCCGGCUAACUACGUGCCAGCAGCCGCGGUAAUACGUAGGGGGCAAGCGUUAUCCGGAUUCACUGGGUGUAAAGGGAGCGUAGACGGCCAUGCAAGCCUGGAGUGAAAGCCCGGGGCCCAACCCCGGGACUGCUCUGGGAACUGUGCGGCUGGAGUGCGGGAGGGGCAGGCGGAAUUCCUGGUGUAGCGGUGAAAUGCGUAGAUAUCAGGAGGAACACCGGCGGCGAAGGCGGCCUGCUGGACCGCGACUGACGUUGAGGCUCGAAAGCGUGGGGAGCAAACAGGAUUAGAUACCCUAGUA